GAACUGCGAUAAGUAGUGUGAAUUGCAGAAUUCAGUGAAGCAUCGAGUCUUUGAACGCACAUUGCGCCCCCUGGCAUUCCGGGGGGCAUGCCUGUCCGAGCGUCAUUGCUACCCUCAAGCACGGCUUGUGUGUUGGGCCGCCGUCCGCCCCGCCCCGCGGGGGGGACGCGCCCGAAAGGCAGCGCCGGCACCGCGUCCGGUCCUCUAGCCGAUGGGGCGGCGUCACCCGCUCCGUGGGACAGGCCGGCGCCAGGCUUCGUCAACCACUUCUGUUCUAGUAUGACCUCGGAUCAGGUAGGGAUACCCGCUGAACUUAA
rnacentral:misc_RNA from 1 species